GUUCACUGUCCCUGUCAUCCUCCUGAAAGCUUUUUGGUUGUUGUUCAUUCUCCUGCAGGCCAGCCUGUGGAUGAAUUUCUGCGUAAGUCAUGGAACAGAUGUAGGCCCAGCUAUUCCACUGAAGAUUUUCUAGCAUUUCCCCAGUCCCAGGACCAGCAUAUGGCAGAGCAGAGAAGCAGCUCUAUGAUCCAAAAUAUAAACUGAGAGAUCAUCCCAGUAACUAUUU
rnacentral:lncRNA from 1 species